rnacentral:rRNA from 1 species
CCUACGGGUGGCAGCAGUGGGGAAUAUUGGACAAUGGGCGAAAGCCUGAUCCAGCCAUGCCGCGUGUGUGAAGAAGGCCUUCGGGUUGUAAAGCACUUUCAGUGGGGAAGAAAGCCUUGGGGCUAAUACCCUCGAGGAAGGACAUCACCCACAGAAGAAGCACCGGCUAACUCCGUGCCAGCAGCCGCGGUAAUACGGAGGGUGCGAGCGUUAAUCGGAAUUACUGGGCGUAAAGCGCGCGUAGGCGGUCUGAUAAGCCGGUUGUGAAAGCCCCGGGCUCAACCUGGGAACGGCAUCCGGAACUGUCAGGCUAGAGUGCAGGAGAGGAAGGUAGAAUUCCCGGUGUAGCGGUGAAAUGCGUAGAGAUCGGGAGGAAGACCAGUGGCGAAGGCGGCCUUCUGGACUGACACUGACGCUGAGGUGCGAAAGCGUGGGUAGCAAACAGGAUUAGAUACCCUGGUAGUC